GGGUCGGCUGGGCAUUGGUGAGCCUAACGGUCUGUAAAACCGCCCCGAAAGGUGUGGCAGUUCGAGUCUGCCCCGGCCCACCA
rnacentral:tRNA from 1 species